rnacentral:rRNA from 1 species
AUUGAACGCUGGCGGCAGGCUUAACACAUGCAAGUCGAACGAGUGGCGGACGGGUAAGUAAUGCUUGAGAAUCUAGAUUCUGGAGGGGGAUAACUGCGGGAAACUGUAGCUAAUACCGAGUACCGUAGGAUGAGACCAAGUGGUAUUAGGUAGUUGGUGAGGUAAAGGCUCAGCAAGACGACGAUCUCUAGCUGGUCUGAGAGGAUGACCAGCCACACUGGUACUGUGAGACGGCACAGACUAAGACGUGAGGCAGCAGUGGGGAAUCUGGCGCAAUGGGGGCAACCUGACGCAGCCAUGCCGCGGGAAUGAAGAAGGCCUUCGGGUUGUAAAGGGCUUGCGGUAGCGAGGCGUUACCUACAGAAGAAGCACCGGCUAACUCCGUGCCAGCAGCCGCGGUAAUAC